rnacentral:rRNA from 1 species
UGGUGGGUAGUUUGACUGGGGCGGUCUCCUCCCAAAGCGUAACGGAGGAGCACGAAGGUGGGCUAAUCACGGUUGGACAUCGUGAGGUUAGUGCAAUGGCAUAAGCCCGCUUGACUGCGAGAAUGACAAUUCGAGCAGGUGCGAAAGCAGGUCAUAGUGAUCCGGUGGUUCUGAAUGGAAGGGCCAUCGCUCAACGGAUAAAAGGUACUCCGGGGAUAACAGGCUGAUACCGCCCAAGAGUUCAUAUCGACGGCGGUGUUUGGCACCUCGAUGUCGGCUCAUCACAUCCUGGGGCUGAAGUCGGUCCCAAGGGUAUGGCUGUUCGCCAUUUAAAGUGGUACGCGAGCUGGGUUUAGAACGUCGUGAGACAGUUCGGUCCCUAUCUGCCGUGGGCGUUGGAGAAUUGAAAGGGGCUGCUCCUAGUACGAGAGGACCGGAGUGGACGAACCUCUGGUGUUCGGGUUGUGUCGCCAGACGCAUUGCCCGGUAGCUAAGUUCGGGAUCGAUAACCGCUGAAAGCAUCUAAGCGGGAAGCGAGCCUUGAGAUGAGUUCUCCCUGAUACUUUAAGUAUCCUAAAGGGUUGUCGUAGACUACGACGUUGAUAGGCAGGGUGUGUAAGCGUUGUGAGGCGUUGAGCUAACCUGUACUAAUUGCCCGUGAGGCUUAACCAUACAACACCCAAGGGGUUU